AAGACCUCAAGUUUUUUUAAUUUUACUGUUCGCGUCGCGCUGAGAGGAAUAAGACAGAAUUCACCUGAAGAAGCUUUGGAUUAUCUCAGGAAAAAACAUUG